GACGAACGCUGGCGGCGUGCUUAACACAUGCAAGUCGAACGGAAAGGCCCUGCUUUUGUGGGGUGCUCGAGUGGCGAACGGGUGAGUAACACGUGAGUAACCUGCCCUUGACUUUGGGAUAACUUCAGGAAACUGGGGCUAAUACCGGAUAGGAGCUCCUGCUGCAUGGUGGGGGUUGUGAAGUUUCGGCGGUUGGGGAUGGACUCGCGGCUUAUCAGCUUGUUGAUGGGGUAGUGGCUUACCAAGGCUUUGACGGGUAGCGGGCCUGAGAGGGUGACCGGCCACAUUGGGACUGAGAUACGGCCCAGACUCCUACGGGAGGCAGCAGUGGGGAAUAUUGCACAAUGGGCGGAAGCCUGAUGCAGCAACGCCGCGUGCGGGAUGACGGCCUUCGGGUUGUAACCCGCUUUCGCCUGUGACGAAGCGUGAGUGACGGUAAUGGGUAAAGAAGCACCGGCUAACUACGUG
rnacentral:rRNA from 1 species